AAAAAUGGAUCUCUUGGUUUUCGAUGCAAAACGCAAUGGAAAUCAUCGACACGUGGCGGGUAGAGUUCCUGUAGCUCUGAAUAAGGAAGAUCUCGAAGAAGUUUUAGGUUUCAGGAGGAUUGAUGCAUUUUUGGUGGGUUUCGUAUUAUGAAGACGCAGAAAAAUGGGAAAAAACCUGGAAUUUUUCGCGCUCCAUUGACAAUCGUCUGUCGGACAACGCGUGGGAAAGCGCGUGUACUCCACACGGACAAAUACAUUUAGUUUUACAAUCGAGCCGCGACGCGACACGCAACGCGCCGUAAAUCUACCCCAGAUAUGGCCGAGCCAAAAUGGCCUAGUUCGGCAAAAAACUCUUCCAUUUCAAUUUAUGAGGAAAGCCAGAAAUCCGUGUUUUUGGCGGCAAUUCGCCGUUCUUAUUGAUUUUUAUGCUAAAAUAAUGUUAAAAACCAUUUGAAUUCACGAUUUUGCCGCCAAAAACCCAACGGGACCCAAUUUUUCUGCGUCUCCAUAAUACGAAACCCACCAAAAAUGCAUCAAUCCUCCUGAUUGUCCUGAUUGAUGCAUUUUUGGUGGGUUUCGUAUUAUGAAGAUGCGGAAAAAUUGGGUCCCGUUGUGUUUUUGGCGGCAAAAUCGUGAAUUCAAACAGUUUUUAAUGAUUUUUUACAUUAUUUUAGCAUAAAAAUCUAUAAAAACGGCGAAUUGCCGCCAAAAUCACUGAUUUUUGGCUUCCCUCAUAAAUUUAAAUGGAAGAGUUUGCCGAACUCGACCAUUUCGGCUCGGCCAUAUCUGGGGUAGAUUUACGGCGCGUUGCGUGUCGCGUCGCGGCUCGAUUGUAAAACUAAAUGCACUUGUCCGUGUGAAGUACACGACUUUCCCACGCGUUGUCCGGCAGGCGAUUGCCAAUGGAGCGCCGCGAAAAAUUCAAUGAGAAAGGCCAGAACUCCGUGAAAACCCCAGCGGGACCCAUGCAUCGGAGGCGGAAAUUGCCGAUAGAGCGCGUUUCGAUUUCAAAUCGGGAAUUUUUCUGCGCCUCUAUAAUAAUUUUGAAAAAAAUCAAUAAAAAAUCGAUAUUUUUUCCAGAAUGGUGGACUUGUCGAGAUAUUUGAUGAGACAGCUUCACGAAUUAUCCAUGAAAUGUCUGGAAUUGGCCAGUGGUUGAAGGAUGAGAGGAAAGAGAGUCGAGGUGUCAGUAGAUCAUGCUUCAGUCAAAGUUGCGGGGAGCCAAAUGGAAAGCUCAAUGAGCAAGCUGCCAAUGAG
rnacentral:sRNA from 1 species